rnacentral:rRNA from 1 species
GGAGUUUGGACCGUGUCUCAGUUCCAAUGUGGGGGACCUUCCUCUCAGAACCCCUACGCAUCGUUGCCUUGGUGGGCCGUUGCCCCGCCAACUAGCUAAUGCGCCGCAUGCCCAUCCCUGGACGAAAUUCUAUCACGCCGAAGUCAUGCGGCCUCGGCGCAUACGGGGUAUUAGGCCGCGUUUCCGCGGGUUAUCCCCCAACCAGGGGCAGGUUGCAUACGUGUUACUCACCAGUGCGCCGGUCGCCGUCGGCAGUAUUGCUACCGCCACGCUGCCCCUCGACUUGCAUGUGUUAAGCCUGUCGCUAGCGUUCAUC